AUAUACAAUACACAUUUUCUAUUUUGUAUAUGCCAUGGACAGUCAUUUGCUUGCAUGAUGAUUUUUCUUUGAGAGGUACUUCUAUAGUUCUACAUGGAGUGGACUCAUUGCUGUACUCUCUCAAUGAUAAACACUUUCUGUUAACUCCAGAUUUUAUGCAUUGUUGGUUUGGGUCUCUUCUUGCACGACUUGUUUGUUUCAUAUCCUUUAAUGGAGAAGUAAAUUCAUACCAGUUCAAGAUUCAGAUAUUAUCAUGAUUCAUUCGAAAAUCAUCAUUCCCGGAAAUGUGUCAGAAUACCUCAGGUUUUGUGGGCUGAACAAGGAUCAGGGACCGCGCAGGCUGCUGAUUAUCACAUUUCAGUUGGAAAUCUAUGAUCAGUUAUUAUCACAUCAGAUUGUUAUUGGAGUCUUGUGCAAGAUUCUGAAUGUUCUGUUAUUGGAGCCACUGAGCUCCUAAUGACAGACAAAUGCAGUGUGUUACAAGUGCACAUACUUUCUUGCAGACCAGGUUAUGCAUACGCCGGUUUGCAUGAACUUCUAGCUAAUGAAUGUCUCAUGCUCAGCUGGUGUUGACAUUGCCACUGGUGUCUUUGGUUGUAGACCAUCAGUGUUAGCAAAUAUGAGAAAUUUCUUUCGAAGUAGAUGUUACAUAAAAGAACUUUUGGUGAUGCUCUUCCUCAAUGCUCAAAACAGCUUUACAGGUCUGUUUCAAUAGUUGCUAUUUUGUUAUUUUACUUUGGAUAUUAGGAUCAUUGUUUUCUAUUAUAAGUUUAUAACAGAUUAUAGUGUUUUAUUUGAUGCAAGUUUAUGCUGUAAUCUUCUAAUACUUCUUUCUUGAUUUUCUCAUUUCCAGACACCUCUCU